GAGUUUGAUCCUGGCUCAGAAUGAUUGUUGGCGGCGUGGAUUAGGCAUGCAAGUCGAGCGAGAAGUUUUAGUUUGAAGCUUCGGCUGAUUUCUAAGAUGGACAGCGGCGCAAGGGAGAGUAAUGAGUGGAUUACCUACCCCCAGGACCGGGAUAGCUGCGGGAAACUGCAGGUAAUACCGGAUAAUAUCUCCGGAUCAAAUGGUGGGAUUCCGCCAGGGGAUGGGUCCGCUUCCUAUUAGCUUGUUGGUGGGGUAACGGCCUACCAAGGCAAUAAUGGGUACCGGGUGUGAGAGCAUGGCCCGGCUCACUGGGACUGAGACACUGCCCAGACACCUACGGGUGGCUGCAGUCGAGAAUCUUCCGCAAUGGGCGAAAGCCUGACGGAGCGACGCCGCGUGCGGGAUGAAGGCCUUCGGGUUGUAAACCGCUGUCAGUUGGGAGGAAAUCUAUGAGGGUUAUCCCUCAUAGUUGACCUAUCAUCAGAGGAAGGACGGGCUAAGUUCGUGCCAGCAGCCGCGGUAAGACGAACCGUCCAAACGUUAUUCGGAAUUACUGGGCUUAAAGGGUGCGUAGGCGGCUUGGCAAGUUGGGUGUGAAAUCCCUCGGCUCAACCGAGGAACUGCGCUCAAAACUGCCAGGCUAGAGGAAGAUAGAGGUGAGCGGAACUAAUGGUGGAGCGGUGAAAUGCGUUGAUAUCAUUAGGAACACCUGUGGCGAAAGCGGCUCACUGGGUCUUUUCUGACGCUGAGGCACGAAAGCUAGGGUAGCGAACGGGAUUAGAUACCCCGGUAGUCCUAGCCGUAAACGAUGAGCACUAGGUUGGAGGCUCCUUCAUAGGCUUCCGACCGAAGCGAAAGUGUUAAGUGCUGUCUUGACAUGUACGGAUGGGCUGCAUGAAAGGGAUAGUCCCUGCCUUCGGGUGAAACGUACACAGGUGCUGCAUGGCCGUCGUCAGCUCGUGUCGUGAGAUGUCGGGUUAAGUCCCUUAACGAGCGAAACCCUUGUUCCUAGUUGCCAGCACAUAAUGGUGGGGACUCUAGGGAGACUGCCGGUGUUAAACCGGAGGAAGGUGGGGACGACGUCAGGUCCUCAUGGCCUUUAUGACCAGGGCUGCACACGUCCUACAAUGCGGUGUACAGAGGGAAGCAAACUCGCGAGAGCAAGCAAAUCCCAAAAAGCACCGCCCAGUUCGGAUUGC
rnacentral:rRNA from 1 species